AUUGAACGCUGGCGGCAGGCCUAACACAUGCAAGUCGAGCGGAUGAAGGGAGCUUGCUCCUGGAUUCAGCGGCGGACGAGUGAGUAAUGCCUAGGAAUCUGCCUGGUAGUGGGGGAUAACGUCCGGAAACGGGCGCUAAUACCGCAUACGUCCUGAGGGAGAAAGUGGGGGAUCUUCGGACCUCACGCUAUCAGAUGAGCCUAGGUCGGAUUAGCUAGUUGGUGGGGUAAAGGCCUACCAAGGCGACGAUCCGUAACUGGUCUGAGAGGAUGAUCAGUCACACUGGAACUGAGACACGGUCCAGACUCCUACGGGAGGCAGCAGUGGGGAAUAUUGGACAAUGGGCGAAAGCCUGAUCCAGCCAUGCCGCGUGUGUGAAGAAGGUCUUCGGAUUGUAAAGCACUUUAAGUUGGGAGGAAGGGCAGUAAGUUAAUACCUCGCUGUUUUGACGUUACCAACAGAAUAAGCACCGGCUAACUUCGUG
rnacentral:rRNA from 1 species